UACACUUAUUCCUCGCUGCCGCUUGUAAUAAUCCCUCCGAAGCUGAGGAUGAAAUUGGUUUCUCCGUGAUCUCUCUUUCCACCCUGGGUGAUCCCCAUAGGAUUCUUCACAAGGACGCAAAUCUUUGUCGGGGUUCAUUGGUGGCUGUGGUUUUCCUGCCCAGCCCACUACCACUGGGCCGUAGAUGAGAUGGAUAUCUUGUCCAGCCCGCUGCCACUGGACCAUUUCUGCAGCAGUUGCAUCUGUUACACAGUAAAGGAGUCCUAGAGAAGUGCUGCCAAGGGGAACUCAUAAAAAAGCCGCUGCUGGAGACUCAGAUGUGCCCUGCUGAGCGAGGCAGUCUCCUCCUACUUACCGUGCUGCAGUGAGCCGCAGUCACCCGCGGGGGAGUUGAAGAAUAAGUUGAAUAUGGUUGAACACGGUGGCAUCAUACUGCUCAGCCAUCUCUGGGGUUAACUGCAGAUGAGAUAAUUCCUGUAUAACUCCUGGAUCCUCUAGGGCAUUCUGCCACUGUAUCCACACUUCAUGGUACAAGGGCGAAUGGACAGAUCUCCAGCUUCCAAGUGAAACGUGAAGGCGACUCGACAAGGAUUUCUGUUAGGACAAUAGUUUUGCUUCAUGAAGACCAGGAAGGCUUGAACUCAGGACAAUGGGUAUCUUGAAUUUACUCAGUUCCCAUCUCUUAAGUUAUUAAACAUUAUUUCCCACCUGUCUUGUGUAUUUUUGCUUGAUCCCUAUAAUAUGGGGGCAGGCAUAAUUUUGUAUAACCCCUGUAAGACGUGUGCCAGGUACAAUUGGCCCUAUUUCCUAUGUGGGGAAACUGAGACUCAGAGCAGAGAAGCGACUCUCCUAAGUCACACGUUGUAUUGCUGGCAGAGUCUCGGGCAGGAGUCGUGCCUCCUGAUUUCCAGGUACAUGCUGCUUUUGCUAGAACCAAUCUAUUAAAGAACCAAGACUCUUUUAUUUGGAAUUAAUGAGGGAUUCCAAAAAUAGUGUUAGCAGUGCUUAACAAAUUUGAAAGAGCAAAGGAACUGAAGCCAGAGAAGACUGAGAUAGGGGAGCUGUUUCAUUGUAUCAAUUUCUAUUCACUUUGUUAAUAAUUGAUGCCACAUUUACUCAUUGUUAUAUAUUAAAAAUACUUGAUUUGCUACAAGGUAAAAAUGACCCAUUGACUUUGUCUCUCAACCUACGCUAACCCUAAAUGAGAAUCUCAUUGUGACCACGAUUUUGCAAAAUUGAUUAAAUGGAAAUAAAUGCAUUCAAGUGUCAAAGGCUGCAUUGGGAAUGGUUGCUAAUGAGCUUGACCUUUCAGAGCUUCCUGGCUGGGUGCACAGUAGGUGUUCAAUGAGUACUGAUGGAUGUCUUGACUGACUGAGAUUUCGGUUAGCCUUCCAUCCCCGGGAGCAUGGUGCCUCUAAUGUGUUAGAUGGCAUCAUGUUCCAAAAAUGAAUCGAUCUAUAAAUUUGAAGACUAAUUUGGAAACAUUUUAACCUUACUAAACAGAAUAGUAUGAUAAAACCUAGGUACCCUACGCCAGCUUCAAAUCAAUAUUCUGCUGUUUUUGUUUACUUCCCUUAACACACAUCACUGCCUCCCCACCCCCAACACACACACACUUUUUUGUUUUUGAGACAGAGUCUCGCUCUGUCACCGAGGCUGGGGUGUAGUGGCGCCAUCUCGGCUCACUGCAAGCUCCGCCUCCUGGGUUCAUGCCAUUCUCCUGUCUCGGCCUCCCAGUCUCCAGAGUAGCUGGGACUUCAGGUGUCCACUUUUUUUUUUUUUUUUUGGCUGAAGUACCAUAAAGGAAAUUUCAAACAUUGUGUCAUUCACCUGUGAAUAAAUCUGUAUGUACCUCCAAUAGAUAGACUAAAAAAACCACAACCUUAUCACCACAACACAAUUAGCCAUUGUUUCUUAAUAUCAUAGGAGGCCUCUUCCAUGCUGAAUGCUCCAU
rnacentral:lncRNA from 1 species